rnacentral:rRNA from 1 species
UACGUAGGUGGCAAGCGUUGUCCGGAUUUAUUGGGUUUAAAGGGUGCGUAGGCGGUCUUUUAAGUCAGUGCUGAAAUACUCCAGCUUAACUGGAGGGGUGGCAUUGAUACUGGAAGACUUGAGUGCAGUCGAGGUAGGCGGAAUUGAUUGUGUAGCGGUGAAAUGCAUAGAUACAAUCAAGAACUCCGAUUGCGUAGGCAGCUAACUAGGCUGUAACUGACGCUGAGGCACGAAAGCGUGGGGAGCGAACAGG